CAGGAACUCGCCUACAGCGGGAUUUUUCUUCUGGAAUCAAAAGUCAUGCUAUUGCCAUGUUCUACUGCACUACCAUCAACAUAGAUAAGUGCUCCUUUUCGGAUUUCCCAAAUGUGAUGACUGUUCAAUUAUAAGGAACACAUGUUUAAUCUGCGACCCUCUGAACUGAUGAUCAUCUAUAGUUGUCUCGGAAUCUCACACAUUACUGAUGUUUAUCCCAAGUGCCAGUGUGCCAUGGGGACAUUUUCUGAUCUCCCAUACGGGCAGGAGCUGUGUCUCAGCGCUGGACCUGGCUAGCUGCCAUCUGUCAAGGGGUCAAGUCUGUCCCUGUGGUUUUAUGCGAAAAAAAUUAUGAAAUUAUGCAAAUU